GAGAGCAAGAAAACACACACACACACACACACACACACACACACACACACACACACACACAAAACAAUCUCCCUAAUCAUUCAGUUUGCAUUCACAAAGACUUAGUUUUUUUCUCAUUCCUCCUCUUCCCCUCCUCCUUGUGUUUUGUAAUUGGCUCGCUUCCUGGUGCAGUGGCAGACAGCAGCCUCGAAAGCGGCUGCCCAGUCGGCCCAUUGAUCUUUCAUCAGCCCGUAGAGUUAAAGCUGAAGGCAUGAGGGGACAAGCUGGAGAGGCAGCCCCUCGUUUUAUGGCAGCCCGCUGGAGCCUGCCGAGGAUUGUUCCCUGCUUCCUCAUAUUGUUUUUCAUUUAGACCGGGUGCAGCGCCGUGCUGCUCGGAGGAGAAUGAGGUGGAGUGGCGCAGACAUUUAGGGGAGCACGUAACAGCCACAGUCUGGAGCUCAGAGGUUUCCACGCAUUCAAUUUGUCCUGGAAAUCGGAGCUUCGAUCUGGGAAUGAAGUCACAUCCGAGUAAAGCAACUUCCAUUUGCAAGUGGAAAUUACAAUGAGAUUUGUUAAUUGCUGUGAUGCUAAUUACUAUUAGUAAUACUAUACAAUAACGUUGUACUUCUCUCCAUUGUAUGCAUUCACAAAAUACAUGUUUGUAAAAUAUGUAUUACCACACUUUGUGUGCCACUGGUUUACUGAGAUGCAAACUUGUCAGAAGUGCUAAAAAAAUAGUUUUCCAGCUUUCACUGCAUAUCUAUAUGGCAGAGGCCAUAUUGGAUCCUGAAAUAAGGGCUGCUCAGAGAGUUUUGGCUUUCCUAGAUGGACUACAAGGGGCAUUCCUGUUGUAUUGUUUUAUACAUAGGGAUCAGUUUGGAAUGUAUGUAACAUUGAAUUUGUGAAUAUGAUUGGAUUAAAUUGACUUUAAACUCCUGAA